rnacentral:rRNA from 1 species
UACGUAGGGGGCUAGCGUUGUCCGGAAUCAUUGGGCGUAAAGCGCGCGUAGGCGGCCAGAUAAGUCCGGUGUGAAAGUCACAGGCUCAACCUGUGAAUGCCGCUGGAAACUGUCUGGCUAGAGUCCGGAAGGGGCGAGUGGAAUUCCUGGUGUAGCGGUGAAAUGCGUAGAUAUCGAGAGGAACACCUGCGGCGAAGGCGGGUUGCUGGGCUGACACUGACGCUGAGGCGCGAAAGCUAGGGGAGCGAACGGG